GGCGAGUUAGCCAAGUGGUAAGGCGUGGGUCUGCAACACCCUGAUCGUCGGUUCAAAUCCGUCACUCGCCUCUA
rnacentral:tRNA from 4 species